rnacentral:rRNA from 1 species
GAUGAACGCUAGCUACAGGCUUAACACAUGCAAGUCGAGGGGCAGCAUGAAGUUUGCUUGCAAACUUUGAUGGCGACCGGCGCACGGGUGAGUAACGCGUAUCCAACCUGCCCCGUACUCGGGUAUAGCCCAGCGAAAGCUGGAUUAAUCCCCGAUGUCACCUUUAUGGUGCAUGCCAUAUUGGUUAAAGUUAUUCGGGUACGGGAUGGGGAUGCGUCUGAUUAGGUUGUAGGCGGGGUAACGGCCCACCUAGCCGACGAUCAGUAGGGGUUCUGAGAGGAAGGUCCCCCCANACUGGAACUGAGACACGGUCCAGACUCCUACGGGAGCAGCAGUGAGGAAUAUUGGUCAAUGGGCAGAGCCUGAACCAGGCCAAGUAGCGUGCAGGAUGACGGCCCUACGGG